rnacentral:rRNA from 1 species
GAUGAACGCUGGCGGCGUGCCUAAUACAUGCAAGUCGAGCGAACGGACGAGAAGCUUGCUUCUCUGAUGUUAGCGGCGGACGGGUGAGUAACACGUGGAUAACCUACCUAUAAGACUGGGAUAACUUCGGGAAACCGGAGCUAAUACCGGAUGAUAUUUUGAACCGCAUGGUUCAAAAGUGAAAGACGGUCUUGCUGUCACUUAUAGAUGGAUCCGCGCUGCAUUAGCUAGUUGGUAAGGUAACGGCUUACCAAGGCAACGAUGCAUAGCCGACCUGAGAGGGUGAUCGGCCACACUGGAACUGAGACGCGGUCCAGACUCCUACGGGAGGCAGCAGUAGGGAAUCUUCCGCGAUGGGCGAAAGCCUGACGGAGCAACGCCGCGUGAGUGAUGAAGGUCUUCGGAUCGUAAAACUCUGUUAUUAGGGAAGAACAUAUGUGUAAGUAACUGUGCACAUCUUGACGGUACCUAAUCAGAAAGCCACGGCUAACUACGUG